AGUGAACGCUGGCGGUAGGCCUAACACAUGCAAGUCGAACGGCAGCACAGUAAGAGCUUGCUCUUACGGGUGGCGAGUGGCGGACGGGUGAGGAAUACAUCGGAAUCUACUUUUUCGUGGGUGAUAACGUAGGGACACUUACGCUAAUACCGCAUACUACCUACGGGUGAAAGCAGGGGAUCUUCGGACUUUGCGCGAUUGAAUGAGAUGAUGUCGGAUUAGCUAGUUGGCGGGGUAAAGGCCCACCAAGGCGACGAUACGUAGCUGGUCUGAGAGGAUGAUCAGCCACACUGGAACUGAGACACGGUCCAGACUCCUACGGGAGGCAGCAGUGGGGAAUAUUGGACAAUGGGCGCAAGCCUGAUCCAGCCAUACCGCGUGGGUGAAGAAGGCCUUCGGGUUGUAAAGCCCUUUUGUUGGGAAAGAAAAGCAGCAGGUUAAUACCCCGCUGUUCUGACGGUACCCAAAGAAUAAGCACCGGCUAACUUCGUG
rnacentral:rRNA from 1 species